rnacentral:rRNA from 1 species
UCGGGAAUUUUGGGCAAUGGGCGAAAGCCUGACCCAGCAACGCCGCGUGAAGGAUGAAGUAUUUCGGUAUGUAAACUUCGAAAGAAUAGGAAGAAUAAAUGACGGUACUAUUUAUAAGGUCCGGCUAACUACGUGCCAGCAGCCGCGGUAAUACGUAGGGACCAAGCGUUGUUCGGAUUUACUGGGCGUAAAGGGCGCGUAGGCGGCAAUUCAAGUCAUCUGUGAAAUCUCCGGGCUUAACUCGGAACGGUCAGAUGAUACUGCUUUGCUAGAGUGCAGAAGGGGCAAUCGGAAUUCUUGGUGUAGCGGUGAAAUGCGUAGAUAUCAAGAGGAACACCUGAGGUGAAGACGGGUUGCUGGGCUGACACUGACGCUGAGGCGCGAAAGCCAGGGGAGCAAACGGGGAUUAGAUACCCAGGUAGUCCCUGAG